CGACCCUAGCUCAGGCGAGAACACCCACUGAGUUUAAGCAUAUAAUUAAGUGGAGGAAAAGAAAAUUACAAGGAUUCCCCUAGUAACGGCGAGCGAACCGGGAAGAGCCCAGCAUGAAAAUCGGGUGGUAGCGUCGCCUGAAUUGUAGUCUGUAGAAGCGUCCUUAGCGGUGAACCAAGCCCAAGUCCCCUUGAAGGGGGCGCGUGAGAGGGUGACAGC
rnacentral:ncRNA from 1 species